UACGGAGGGUGCAAGCGUUAUCCGGAUUCACUGGGCGUAAAGGGUGCGUAGGUGGUGGGGUAAGUCGGAUGUGAAAUCUCGGAGCUCAACUCCGAAAUGGCAUUGGAAACUACCCUGCUGGAGGUUUGGAGGGGGGACUGGAAUACUUGGUGUAGCAGUGAAAUGCGUAGAUAUCAAGUGGAACACCAGUGGCGAAGGCGAGUCCCUGGACAAAACCUGACA
rnacentral:rRNA from 1 species